UUAACUCAAAUUUGUAUGAAGUUGGGAAGUUUGCAUACGUUUGCCGCUAGGGGCGCUGUUCCAACUGCAUACAAAUUUGAGUUA
rfam:Bombyx mori DNA, contig: Bm_scaf11_contig8936, strain: p50T/Dazao, build 2, whole genome shotgun sequence.